UUUGCCUACGGCACAUAAACAAGUUUUGGGUUUUGUUUAUAUCCCAAAUUCAAAAACAGUUUUGGAUGAUUCUUUAAAGUAACAACAUUGGGACAACCGUCGUCCUGAACCACACACAAGCCCGCAAAAAUAUACCUGAAGCAAAAGCAAUGCAUAACUGCGCUUACUCGUGCAAUUUGUAACAAAAUAACAAAAUUUUCCUUGUUCACCCAUUUCUAACGGCAUAUUCGUAUUAGAAGCUCACCAUGAACCGUUCAGAUACGAUACCCAUACGACGAGAUCGCUCCUUUGACAGCGUUCUCAAUCGUUUGCUGCGAAUGCGUUCCCAGAAUCAUGAGAGUUUUCGAGCUGCCAUGUACAACUUUCUGAUCGCAGCAGGCGUCGCUGCAUUCGUGGCCGUUUGCUUCAUCCUAGGCCCAUUUGUGCGUCCGUUGCUUUGGGCCUUCUUGAUGGGCGCAGUGCUGUUUCCCUUUAAGCGUAAGUUGGCAGAGCUGCUAAACAAUUGGUUCCAGCGUUUAGAAGAACGUGACUCGAAUGUCUUGGUCUCAAUUUGUCUGGCGCCGCUGGAGGCCACAGAGCAUUGUGGUCGCAUGUUGAUCAAUUGGCUGUGCCAGCACUGGCAACUUUUGCUUUCCGGCUGCGGCGUUGCUAUAUGCAUUAAACUGCUGGUGCUGUACGCACCUAAGGGUUUUCUGCUGGCUCUCUGGCAUUGGUUGACCUUCUCCCAUGGUCUGUUCGUGCGCAUCAUUGGCUUCCUCAAUCUAUAUUUGCUGCUUGUCUUAAUUGUCAUCUACUUGACAUCGGUGCAUUUCUUUUGGACGCCCGAGAAGAGCGCACAUUUCGUCAUCGCUGGCCAGUCCAUGUGGGUGGCCAUUGCUGGCUUUCUGUGCAGCUUCCUUGGCGCCUUGCAAGUGCCCGUCUUUCUUCUGGUCAUGGCCUAUGUUGUGGUCUCUACAAUUUAUCAUCUGCAGACGAGCGAUGAAAUGGAUUCGAGUACGUUGCUGGAACGCGUAAACAAGCUGUUCGACAAGCAGGACUUUGAGAAAUCACUGAGCAACAUUAGCAUCUGUCGGCGAGCUGGUGGCGAGGCCACUUUGCAGUCGGAUGUGGAAGACAUUUCGCUGAGCGAUACCAUCGAUUCCACAGACACUUUCGAAGCGGCCAAGCCAGCGGGCGAGGAAGAAACUCAUCAGAGUGAUACGUACUUUAAGCUAUUGUUUUAUGCUUGCCUUGGCACGUUUUUGUACCGAAACAUUUGGAUGUUUAUAUUGGCGGCAGUGCCGGUCUUUCUGCAUCUGCUCUACACCGUGGGCAGCUACACGGGCAUCACGCAGUUUGUGUGCAGCAAGAUUAGCGAGGGAUAUCAAGGACUUAGAUCUUGGGCCUUGGAGCAUCAUUCGGCGGUGCUGCCUUUGUGUUUGCCUGGCGUGCUGGAGUUGAACUAUAAGAUCAAUUGCAUUGUGCGCGAUUCGCUGAAGUCAUCGGUAGAGUCGGUCACAUCCAUACUCAUGAUCAUACUCAUGUUGCUCAUCAUCAUAUUCCUGAGUGUUUUCUUUUGCGUCAACAUCUAUUCAGAGACCAUUGAGGUGGCAUAUUUGGGCAAAGAUCUAAUUAACAAGACAAUCACAGAUCGUCCUGAGCUAAUUGAUAUUCUGCCCGCCAAUAUACAAGCGUCCAUCGAUGAUGCGCUCGACAAUGCGCACCAUUAUGGACGACGUAAGAUCGAGACCUAUAUCGAUGAUUGGCUAGCGGAUGCGGACAAAGUGCAUGCCACCAAGCUCAAGGAGCAAAUCCUUGAUGUCUGGGAUCGUCUCAUACAAUACUGGAUUGAUUUUAAUAAGGCAGGCACCUCGUAUGGUCCUCGCGUACCCACGGACGCCUUGAAGAGCACCUUUGGCGAGAUUGUCGAUAAUCCAGGACAUUUUAAAGAGCUAGUUUUAGUGGCAAAACAGGGCAUCAUUGGCUGGGCUCAGAGCAAUACGCAAACCAUUCUGGAGGUCGCUGAAUCUCUUUGGCACAUCAUACGUACGAAUAUCUCGGUGAUCAUGGGCGUCGCUGGCGAGAUUCUCUCGCUGCUUCUGUCGGGCGGACAGGCGUGCAUUGAAUUCAUACUGGACAUGAUUGUUUUCUUUACUGCACUGUUCUAUCUGCUGUCUAGCAGCCAGGAGAAAUAUGCUCCGCUGCAGAUCACCAAAUAUAUGGGCUACUCGACCUCGGGCAUUAAGGUCGCCGAUGCGCUGGAGAACUCCAUUACCGUCGUGCUCAUCUCCAUGUUCAAAUGCGCCACUUUUACGGGUCUCUUUACUUGGCUGGUGCACACGGUCUUUGGAGCACGCAUUGUCUUUCUGCCCUCCGCUUUGGCUGCGAUGCUGGCAGCUGCUCCUUUCUUGGGCAGCUACUGGUGUGCGGUGCCAGCGUUUCUGGAGCUGUGGCUGGCCCAGGAUCGCUUCUAUGCGGGCGUACUCCUGUUUCUACUCCAAUUCUUUGUGCCAUCCUCUUUUGAGACAGCCAUCUAUGCGGAUCUGAAAGGUGGCGGUCAUCCAUAUCUUAAUGGUCUGGCCAUUGCCGGUGGCAUGUAUUGGAUUGGCUGGCAAGGUGCCAUCUUUGGGCCACUCAUGCUGUGCUUCUUCAUUGGCCUCUUCGAGGUAGCCACUUUGGCGAUGCGCAACAAUCAGGAGCCCAGGUAUGUGUGGUGCUAAGCGGCCUUUUUCAUUUUGCAUGCAAGUUAUGAAUAUUUUAUCAAAAAAUUAAUUUGCCGCUCAAGGAUCUAAGCGCAGUUCGGACGAGGAGACGCGCACCACGUGAGUUCUGCGAGGGAUUUAAAUCGAAAGAACUAAAAAAAAACGCUACGAAUUUCCUGCUCGAAAUGCAAACUAACCAAUCAUUAGCCAACUUCUCAGCAACUUGGCUAACAAACUGAACUAAUCCUUAAUCCAAUCAAAUUUUGACAGUUUUAUGCAUUUUCCUUAAUUAGCUUUUAUAUUUUUUUAAAUUUCUGUUUCGCUGUUCUGUUGAUAUUUUGCACUAAAUUUAAAAAGUAUUGCAAAAAAAAAAAAUGAAAACACGAUUCCGUCUUGUAAUCUCUGUAUUAAAAUUAAACAACAACCUAACGUACUAACUAAUUACGUAUAAGACUCGAUACUCUUGAAAAGCUUUAAAGUAGUUUGUUGUGAGCUUAAUUGAAAAGCUGUUUAAUUGUAAAGGCUUUAAGCAAAUGCUUUUCAAGGGUAUUCGCGCUUCGAUCUGCCGAAGAUAGCUUUCUAGUUGUAGUAUUUACCACUCAUUUUAUUUCCUUUAUUUUGUACAUAUCUCGAAAAAGAAAAGAAUUUGUAUUUUAAAGCUUGACUCCGCAAGAACAGUACCUUAUUUUGUGCUCGCUACAAAUGUGAUUUGUUUAAGCUUAAGUUAAAAGUUCAUGUUCCGUUGCGAAUAAACGUCAUUUACAUACUAACAAAA